rnacentral:rRNA from 1 species
UACAGAGAGUGCAAGCGUUAAUCGGAAUUACUGGGCGUAAAGCGCGCGUAGGUGGAUGCUUAAGUCAAAUGUGAAAUACCUGGGCUUAACCUGGGAAUUGCAUCUGAUACUGGGUAUCUUGAGUAUGGUAGAGGGAAGUGGAAUUUCCGGUGUAGCGGUGAAAUGCGUAGAUACCGGAAGGAACACCAGUGGCGAAGGCGACUUCCUGGACCAAUACUGACACUGAGGCGCGAAAGCGUGGGGAGCAAAC